CGAUGAAACAGAGAUCUUCAGCA
rnacentral:piRNA from 1 species